rnacentral:rRNA from 1 species
CCUGAACGCUGGCGGCGUGGCUAAGACAUGCAGGUCGAACGGGUGUAGCAAUACACCAGUGGCGGACGGGUGAGUAAUGUAUCGCUAACGUGCCCUGGAAUCUGAGAUAGCCAAUCGAAAGGUUGGGUAAUACCAGAUGAAGUAUCCUUAUCGCAUGAUGAGGAUCUCAAAGGAGCAAUCCGGUCUGGGAGCGGGCGAUAUCGUAUCAGCUAGUUGGUGAGUAACGGCUCACCAAGGCGACGACGCGUAGCCGGGCUGAGAGGUCGGCCGGCACAUUGGGACUGAGACACUGCCCAGACU